CCUACGGGUGGCAGCAGUGAGGAAUAUUGGUCAAUGGACGAGAGUCUGAACCAGACAAGUAGCGUGAAGGAUGACUGCCCUAUGGGUUGUAAACUUCUUUUAUAUGGGAAUAAAAUGUUCCACGUGUGGGAUUUUGUAUGUACCAUAUGAAUAAGGAUCGGCUAACUCCGUGCCAGCAGCCGCGGUAAUACGGAGGAUCCGCGCGUUAUCCGGAUUUAUUGGGUUUAAAGGGAGCGUAGGGGGAUUGUUAAGUCAGUUGUGAAAGUUUGCGGCUCAACCGUAAAAUUGCAGUUGAAACUGGCAGUCUUGAGUACAGUAGAGGUGUGCGGAAUGCGUGGUGUAGCGGUGAAAUGCUUAGAUAUCACGAAGAACUCCGAUUGCGAAGGCAGUUCACUGGACUGCAACUGACACUGAGGCUCGAAAGUGUGGGUAUCAAACAGGAUUAGAUACCCUUGUAGUC
rnacentral:rRNA from 1 species